rnacentral:rRNA from 1 species
AUUGAACGCUGGCGGCAGGCCUAACACAUGCAAGUCGAACGAGUGGCGGAAGGGUGAGUAAUGUCUGGGAAACUGCCCGAUGGAGGGGGAUAACUACUGGAAACGGUAGCUAAUACCGCCUACCAUCGGAUGUGCCCAGAAGGGAUUAGCUAGUGGGUGGGGUAACGGCUCACCUAGGCGACGAUCCCUAGCUGGUCUGAGAGGAUGAGCAGCCACACUGUAAAUGAGACACGGUCCAGACGCCUACGUGAGGCAGCAGUGGGGAAUAUUGCACAAUGGGCGCAAGCCGGAUGCAGCCAUGCCGCGUGGAUGAAGAAGGCCUUCGGGUUGUAAAGUACUUUCAGCGUGGAGGCGUUACCCGCAGAAGAAGCACCGGCUAACUCCGUGCCAGCAGCCGCGGUAAUUC